rnacentral:rRNA from 1 species
ACCGACUUUCUUGAGUCCCCUGGGGGGGUGGACAAGGGCCGGGAACGUAUUCACCGCAGCGCUGCUGAUCUGCGAUUACUAGCGACUCCGACUUCAUGGGGUCGAGUUGCAGACCCCAAUCCGAACUGAGACCGGUUUUUUGGGAUUCGCUCCACCUUACGGCAUCGCAGCCCUUUGUACCGGCCAUUGUAGCAUGCGUGAAGCCCAAGACAUAAGGGGCAUGAUGAUUUGACGUCAUCCCCACCUUCCUCCGAGUUGACCCCGGCAGUCUUCCAUGAGUCCCCACCAUAACGUGCUGGCAACAUAGAACGAGGGUUGCGCUCGUUGCGGGACUUAACCCAACAUCUCACGACCCGAGCUGACGACAACCAUGCACCACCUGUAUACCGACCCAAAGGGGGCAACCAUCUCUGGAAGUUUCCGGUAUAUGUCAAGCCUUGGUAAGGUUCUUCGCGUUGCAUCGAAUUAAUCCGCAUGCUCCGCCGCUUGUGCGGGCCCCCGUCAAUUCCUUUGAGUUUAGCCUUGCUGCCGUACUCCCCAGGCGGGGCGCUUAAUGCGUUAGCUGCGGCACGGAACUCGUGGAAUGAGUCCCACACCUAGCGCCCAACGUUUACGGCAUGCACUACCAGGGUAUCUAAUCCUGUUCGCUCCCCUUGCUUUCGCUUCUCAGCGUCAGAAGUGGCCCAGAUACCUGCCUUCGCAUCGGUGUUCCUCUGAAUCUUGCGUAUUUCUCCGUUACACCAGGAAUUCCAGUCUCCCUUACCACACUCUAUUCUGCUCGUACUCAUUGAAAGUCUGGGGUUGAGCCCCUGUAUUUUCACUUGCA